rnacentral:rRNA from 1 species
UCGUGAGACAGUUCGGUCCCUAUCUGCCGUGGGCGCUGGAGAAUUGAGGGGGGCUGCUCCUAGUACGAGAGGACCGGAGUGGACGCAUCACUGGUGUUCGGGUUGUCAUGCCAAUGGCACUGCCCGGUAGCUAAAUGCGGAAGAGAUAAGUGCUGAAAGCAUCUAAGCACGAAACUUGCCCCGAGAUGAGUUCUCCCUGACUCCUUGAGAGUCCUGAAGGAACGUUGAAGACGACGACGUUGAUAGGCCGGGUGUGUAAGCGCAGCGAUGCGUUGAGCUAACCGGUACUAAUGAACCGUGAGGCUUAACCUU